GAUUUAUAAGAAACCCUUAGCUGAAUGCAGGGUGGGGAGAACGAAAGACAAAAGCAUCUUUUUUCAGAAGGGAAACUGAAAGAAAGAGGGGAAGAGUAUUAAAGACCAUUUCUGGCUGGGCAGGGCACUCUCAGCAGCUCAACUGCCCAGCGUGACCAGUGGCCACCUCUGCAGUGUCUUCCACAACCUGGUCUUGACUCGUCUGCUGGACAAAGCCUCUGACCUCAGGCCGGCUGUGAACGUAGUUCCUGAGAGAUAGCAAACAUGCCCAACAGUGAGCCCGCAUCUCUGCUGGAGCUGUUCAACAGCAUCGCCACACAAGGGGAGCUCGUGAGGUCUCUCAAAGCGGGAAAUGCAUCAAAGGAUGAAAUUGAUUCUGCAGUAAAGAUGUUGGUGUCAUUAAAAAUGAGCUACAAAGCUGCCGCGGGGGAGGAUUACAAGGCUGACUGUCCUCCAGGGAACCCAGCACCUACCAGUAAUCAUGGCCCAGAUGCCACAGAAGCUGAAGAGGAUUUUGUGGACCCAUGGACAGUACAGACAAGCAGUGCAAAAGGCAUAGACUACGAUAAGCUCAUUGGUACG
rnacentral:sRNA from 1 species